UACAGAGGGUGCGAGCGUUGUUCGGAAUUACUGGGCGUAAAGCGCGCGCAGGCGGCCCUUUAAGUCCGUCGGUCAAAUGCCGGGGCUCAACCCCGAGCGUGCCGAGGAUACUGGAGGGCUGGAGACACGUAGAGGCAAGCGGAAUUCCGGGUGUAGCGGUGGAAUGCGUAGAGAUCCGGAAGAACACCAGUGGCGAAGGCGCUCUGCUAGGCCGUAACUGACACUGAGGGACGAAAGCUAGGGGAGCGAAUGGG
rnacentral:rRNA from 1 species